rnacentral:rRNA from 1 species
GGGGUAACGGCUCACCUAGGCGACGAUCCCUAGCUGGUCUGAGAGGAUGACCAGCCACACUGGAACUGAGACACGGUCCAGACUCCUACGGGAGGCAGCAGUGGGGAAUAUUGCACAAUGGGCGCAAGCCUGAUGCAGCCAUGCCGCGUGUAUGAAGAAGGCCUUCGGGUUGUAAAGUACUUUCAGCGAGGAGGAAGGCGUUAAGGUUAAUAACUUGAUGAAUUGACGUUACUCGCAGAAGAAGCACCGGCUAACUCCGUGCCAGCACCGCGGUAAUACGGAGGGUGCAAGCGUUAAUCGGAAUUACUGGGCGUAAGCGCACGCAGGCGGUCUGUCAAGUCGGAUGUGAAAUCCCCGGGCUCAACCUGGGGAACUGCAUUCGAAACUGGCAGGCUAGAGU